GACUUAAAAUACAUCAAUAACCUCAAAACGCCUCUUGAAGCUCCGAGACGCGUUCCGAAGCAGCGCUGAAGGGAGGCAAUGAAGGGGGAGGGCGGCGGUAGUGGCUCGGCUGCGGUGGCGGUGGAAGGACGUCGUGCGGGUUGACUUCUGUUCCAUUUGCUUGUCUUGUGGCUGGCCGGCUGUUGGUGGCUGUGGCCUCUCUACUCAUCCACAUACAUCCUGCCACUCCACCACCACCUCCACUUGGGCUGCCGCCGCCGCCGUCUGCAUCAUUAGUAUUCAGGCGAUGUAGCUGGUGGCAGACGCAGCGCCCGGAAUCUCUCUCCAACCCUCACCACUGCACCCAGGACCCACCCACCACCCGACUACCCAGGUGCCAGAUGGAGGAGCUCGUUUCACAGGGGCGUCUUUGGGUGGCCGUGGCUCAUCUGUCCC